rnacentral:rRNA from 1 species
UACGGAGGGGGCUAGCGUUGUUCGGAAUUACUGGGCGUAAAGCGCACGUAGGCGGCUUUGUAAGUUAGAGGUGAAAGCCCGGGGCUCAACUCCGGAAUUGCCUUUAAGACUGCAUCGCUAGAAUUGUGGAGAGGUAAGUGGAAUUCCGAGUGUAGAGGUGAAAUUCGUAGAUAUUCGGAAGAACACCAGUGGCGAAGGCGACUUACUGGACACAUAUUGACGCUGAUGCGCGAAAGCUAGGGGAGCAAACAGG